rnacentral:rRNA from 1 species
UACGUAGGGGGCGAGCGUUGUCCGGAUUUAUUGGGCGGAAAGAGCGUGUAGGCGGCCAGGUAGGUCCGUUGUGAAAACUCGAGGCUCAACCUCGAGACGUCGGCGGAAACCCUCUGGCUAGAGUCCGGAAGAGGAGAGUGGAAUUCCUUGUGUAGCGGUGAAAUGCGCAGAUAUCAGGAAGAACACCCGUUGCGAAGGCGGCUCUCUGGGACGGUACUGACGCUGAGACGCGAAAGCGUGGGGAGCAAACAGG